UACGUAGGGGGCUAGCGUUGUCCGGAAUCAUUGGGCGUAAAGCGCGCGUAGGCGGCCCGGUAAGUCCGCUGUGAAAGUCCAGGGCUCAACCCUGGAAAGCCGGUGGAUACUGCCGGGCUAGAGUCCGGGAGAGGCGAGUGGAAUUCCUGGUGUAGCGGUGAAAUGCGCAGAUAUCAGGAGGAACACCGAUGGCGAAGGCAGCUCACUGGGACGGUACUGACGCUGAGGCGCGAAAGCGUGGGGAGCAAACAGG
rnacentral:rRNA from 1 species